UACGGGGGGGGUAAGCGUUGUUCGGAAUUACUGGGCGUAAAGGGCUCGUAGGCGGCCAACUAAGUCGGACGUGAAAUCCCUCAGCUUAACUGGGGAACUGCGUCCGAUACUGGGUGGCUUGGAUUUGGGAGAGGGAUGCGGAAUUCCAGGUGUAGCGGUGAAAUGCGUAGAUAUCUGGAGGAACACCGGUGGCGAAGGCGACAUCCUGGACCGGUAUUGACGCUGAGGCGCGAAAGCCAGGGGAGCAAACGGG
rnacentral:rRNA from 1 species